ACGCACGCUGGCGGCGUGCCUAAUACAUGCCAGUCGAACGCUUCUUUCCUCCCGAGUGCUUGCACUCAAUUGGAAAGAGGAGUGGCGGACGGGUGAGUAACACGUGGGUAACCUACCCAUCAGAGGGGGAUAACACUUGGAAACAGGUGCUAAUACCGCAUAACAGUUUAUGCCGCAUGGCAUAAGAGUGAAAGGCGCUUUCGGGUGUCGCUGAUGGAUGGACCCGCGGUGCAUUAGCUAGUUGGUGAGGUAACGGCUCACCAAGGCCACGAUGCAUAGCCGACCUGAGAGGGUGAUCGGCCACACUGGGACUGAGACACGGCCCAGACUCCUACGGGAGGCAGCAGUAGGGAAUCUUCGGCAAUGGACGAAAGUCUGACCGAGCAACGCCGCGUGAGUGAAGAAGGUGUUCGGAUCGUAAAACUCUGUUGUUAGAGAAGAACAAGGACGUUAGUAACUGAACGUCCCCUGACGGUAUCUAACCAGAAAGCCACGGCUAACUACGUG
rnacentral:rRNA from 1 species